UUAUUUGACGGUGCCAGAUCCUUAUCUAGUAAUAUCGAAUUAUCAUCCAACAUCUCAAAAUCAUGCACGUUUACAAGCCAAACUACAUCAAGUAUUUUUAUGGCUAACGAACAUAUUGUAUAACAAAAAACCGUUUGUAUUAUACAUAGA
rnacentral:pre_miRNA from 1 species